AUUGAACGCUGGCGGAAUGCUUUACACAUGCAAGUCGAACGGCAGCACGGGAGCUUGCUCCUGGUGGCGAGUGGCGAACGGGUGAGUAACAUAUCGGAACGUAUCCAAUAAUGGGGGAUAACGAGUCGAAAGAUUCGCUAAUACCGCAUACGCCCUGAGGGGGAAAGCUGGGGAUCGUAAGACCUUGCACUAUUGGAAGA
rnacentral:rRNA from 1 species